rnacentral:rRNA from 1 species
CAAGUCGUGGGGCAGCAGGGGCUUCGGCCCGCUGGCGACCGGCAAACGGGUGCGGAACACGUACGCAACCUCCCUCAGAGCGGGGAAUAGCCUCUCGAAAGAGAGAUUAAUACCCCAUAGUAUCCCUAUGUCACAUGGCAUUGGGAUUAAAGCUCCGGCACUUUGAGAUGGGCGUGCGGCUGAUUAGGUAGUUGGUAGGGUAACGGCCUACCAAGCCGACGAUCAGUAGCUGAUGUGAGAGCAUGAUCAGCCACACGGGCACUGAGACACGGGCCCGACUCCUACGGGAGGCAGCAGUGAGGAAUAUUGGUCAAUGGAGGCAACUCUGAACCAGCCAUGCCGCGUGAAGGAUUAAGGUCCUCUGGAUUGUAAACUUCUUUUGUAGAAGAAGAAACCCCAUUAUUCUUAGUGGGUUGACGGUACUCUACGAAUAAGCACCGGCUAACUCCGUGCCAGCAGCCGCGGUAAUACGGAGGGUGCAAGCGUUAUCCGGAUUCACUGGGUUUAAAGGGAGCGUAGGUGGGUUGGUAAGUCAGCGGUGAAAUCCCCGAGCUUAACUUGGGAACUGCCAUUGAUACUAUCAAUCUUGAAUACUGUGGAGGUAAGCGGAAUAUGUCAUGUAGCGGUGAAAUGCUUAGAUAUGACAUAGAACACCGAUAGCGAAGGCAGCUUACUACGCAGUUAUUGACACUGAGGCUCGAAAGCGCGGGGAUCAAACAGGAUUAGAUACCCUGGUAGUCCACGCCCUAAACUAUGGAUACUCGACAUAUGCGAUAUACUGUAUGUGUCUGAGCGAAAGCAUUAAGUAUCCCACCUGGGAAGUACGUCCGCAAGGAUGAAACUCAAAGGAAUUGGCGG